rnacentral:rRNA from 1 species
UCUUGGGUCAUUAGAGGAAGUAAAAGUCGUAACAAGGUUUCCGUAGGUGAACCUGCGGAAGGAUCAUUAUCGAAAAGUGAAUCCGAAGGGGGAGAGAUGAUCGGGCGAAGUUUGGUAGAUCGUAGGGAUUGUCGCUGGCCUUUGGCAACGAAGGCAUGUGCACGUUCCGAGCUCUCCUUAGUCCUCGUUCGCUCUUCUUUCGGAGAUCUUUCUCAACACCCGUGCACCUUAUUGUAGGUUCCGAAAGGGAUCUAUGUCUUUAUCUACCCCCAAACGCAAGUCUUAGAAUGUCAUUAAUGCGUCGAUCGGCCUGGCUAACGCCUGGUCGGCGACGGUAAAGAAUCAUACAACUUUCAGCAACGGAUCUCUUGGCUCUCGCAUCGAUGAAGAACGCAGCGAAUUGCGAUACGUAAUGUGAAUUGCAGAUUUUCAGUGAAUCAUCGAAUCUUUGAAUGCACCUUGCGCUCCUUGGUAUUCCGAGGAGCAUGCCUGUUUGAGUGUCAUCGAAUUCUCAACCAUCCUUUGAUUGAUUUCGAGGGAUGGCUUGGAUCUUGGGAGUUGCUGGCUUGACCCCUCGGGGACGGUCGGCUCUCCUUAAAAGCAUUAGCGAAAGGUUGACAAGCCCUGCAUGCACGGCCUUCGACGUGAUAAUGAUCGUCGUGGCUGGAGUGUGAGGCCUAGAUUCGAUCUUUGCUUCCAAAAACCAUGGUAUCGGGGGGACUUGCGACCCUUUUUGACGCUGACCUCAUCUCUC